AGAGUUUGAUCAUGGCUCAGGAUGAACGCUAGCUACAGGCUUAACACAUGCAAGUCGAGGGGCAGCGAAGAGGUAGCAAUACCUUUGUCGGCGACCGGCGCACGGGUGAGUAACACGUAUGCAAUCCACCUGUAACAGGGGGAUAACCCGGAGAAAUCCGGACUAAUACCCCAUAAUAUGGGCGCUCCGCAUGGAGAGCCCAUUAAAGAGAGCGAUUUUGGUUACAGACGAGCAUGCGCUCCAUUAGCCAGUUGGCGGGGUAACGGCCCACCAAAGCGACGAUGGAUAGGGGUUCUGAGAGGAAGGUCCCCCACAUUGGAACUGAGACACGGUCCAAACUCCUACGGGAGGCAGCA
rnacentral:rRNA from 1 species